UACGAAGGGGGCUAGCGUUGUUCGGAAUCACUAGGCGUAAAGCGCAGGUAGGCGGUUCGGUAAGUCUUUUGUGAAAGCUCCUGGCUCAACUGGGAGAGGUCAAAGGAAACUACCGGGCUAGAGUUUGGUAGGGGAUACUGGAAUUCCUGGUGUAGCGGUGAAAUGCGUAGAUAUCAGGAGGAAUACCUAUGGCGAAAGCAGGUAUCUGGGCCACAACUGACGCUGAGAAGCGAAAGCAUGGGGAGCGAACAGG
rnacentral:rRNA from 1 species